rnacentral:rRNA from 1 species
UACGUAGGCAGCAAGCGUUGUUCGGAUUUACUGGGCGUAAAGGGGGUGUAGGCGGUUCUUUAAGUUUGGUGUGAAAUCUCCCGGCUCAACUGGGAGGGUGCGCCGAAUACUGAGGGACUAGAGUACGGGAGAGGAAAGUGGAAUUCCUGGUGUAGCGGUGAAAUGCGUAGAUAUCAGGAGGAACACCGGUGGUGUAGACGGCUUUCUGGACCGACACUGACGCUGAGACACGAAAGCGUGGGUAGCAAACAGG